AGAGUUUGAUCCUGGCUCAGGACGAACGCUGGCGGCGUGCUUAACACAUGCAAGUCGAACGAUGAUGAGACUGCUUGCAGUUUUUGAUUAGUGGCGAACGGGUGAGUAACACGUGAGUAACCUGCCCUUCACUCUGGGAUAAGCCUUGGAAACGGGGUCUAAUACUGGAUAUUACUUGAGCCUGCAUGGGUUUGGGUGGAAAGCUUUUGUGGUGGAGGAUGGACUCGCGGCCUAUCAGCUUGUUGGUGAGGUAGUGGCUUACCAAGGCGACGACGGGUAGCCGGCCUGAGAGGGUGACCGGCCACACUGGGACUGAGACACGGCCCAGACUCCUACGGGAGGCAGCAGUGGGGAAUAUUGCACAAUGGGCGAAAGCCUGAUGCAGCGACGCCGCGUGAGGGAUGAAGGCCUUCGGGUUGUAAACCUCUCUCAUCAGGGAAGAAGCGUGAGUGACGGUACCUGAAGAAGAAGCACCGGCUAACUACGUGCCAGCAGCCGCGGUAAUACGUAGGGUGCGAGCGUUGUCCGGAAUUAUUGGGCGUAAAGAGCUUGUAGGCGGUUUGUGCGUCUGCUGUGAAAUUCUGGGGCUUAACUCCGGACGUGCAGUGGGUAUGGGCAGACUAGAGUGUGGUAGGGGAGACUGGAAUUCCUGGUGUAGCGGUGAAAUGCGCAGAUAUCAGGAGGAACACCGAUGGCGAGGGCAGGUCUCUGGGCCAUAACUGACGCUGAGAAGCGAAAGCAUGGGUAGCGAACAGGAUUAGAUACCCUGGUAGUCCAUGCCGUAAACGUUGGGCGCUAGGUGUGGGGCUCAUUCCACGAGUUCUGUGCCGCAGCUAACGCAUUAAGCGCCCCGCCUGGGGAGUACGGCCGCAAGGCUAAAACUCAAAGGAAUUGACGGGGGCCCGCACAAGCGGCGGAGCAUGCGGAUUAAUUCGAUGCAACGCGAAGAACCUUACCAAGGCUUGACAUACACCGGAAACGGCCAGAGAUGGUUGCCCCGUAAGGCUGGUGUACAGGUGGUGCAUGGUUGUCGUCAGCUCGUGUCGUGAGAUGUUGGGUUAAGUCCCGCAACGAGCGCAACCCUCGUUCCAUGUUGCCAGCACGUGAUGGUGGGGACUCAUGGGAGACUGCCGGGGUCAACUCGGAGGAAGGUGGGGAUGACGUCAAAUCAUCAUGCCCCUUAUGUCUUGGGCUUCACGCAUGCUACAAUGGCCAGUACAAAGGGCUGCGAAACUGUGAGGUGGAGCGAAUCCCAAAAAACUGGUCUCAGUUCGGAUUGGGGUCUGCAACUCGACCCCAUGAAGUCGGAGUCGCUAGUAAUCGCAGAUCAGCAACGCUGCGGUGAAUACGUUCCCGGGCCUUGUACACACCGCCCGUCAAGUCACGAAAGUCGGUAACACCCGAAGCCGGUGGCCUAACCCUC
rnacentral:rRNA from 1 species